rnacentral:rRNA from 1 species
UACGGGGGGGGCAAGCGUUGUUCGGAAUUACUGGGCGGAAAGGGCUCGUAGGCGGCCAACUAAGUCAGACGUGAAAUCCCUCGGCUUAACCGGGGAACUGCGUCUGAUACUGGAUGGCUUGAGAUUGGGAGAGGGAUGCGGAAUUCCAGGUGUAGCGGUGAAAUGCGUAGAUAUCUGGAGGAACACCGGUGGCGAAGGCGGCAUCCUGGACCAACACUGACGCUGAGGAGCGAAAGCCAGGGGAGCAAACGGG